GAAACGUUCGCUUGAUUAUUUUUCCAUUAAAUGCAAAAUUCGUUACUCUCCUUAGCGAUCAAAUAAUAAUUCUCAUUGUUAAUUUUCUGAGAGACUGAAGAUGAAAGAAAGAUCACCCAUCUACAAAUCUAUUAUACCAGGUUGAUGGAAUUGUUUGAGGUUAUGCUCAGAAUCAUCCUCAAUAACAGGUAAGAAAGAAGAUUUGACGAGCCUGGAGAUAAGAAAGAUGUGCAUUCUUAUCACAUCUAUAUCUUUGAUGAAUUCGUUUAAUUUUGGAAGAAGUUCUUAAAACUUAAAAGAAAUCAAAAUGGUCAUCACUAUCAGGUUCCUGAUAAACUAUUGAGAAAGCAUUUAACAUGGUUAUUGAUAGUAAUGUUAUGUGAAUAAUUAAAUUCACGAUUUCAAGGUUAAGAUGAUGGAAUUGAUUAGAAUGGUGGGAUUUUAUUGGGAUGAGGUUUUUCAUUUCAACAAUAAAUCGGAGAUGUGCAAAAAAUAUUUUGAAUAUCAAUUUUAACUGAAACUUCUAUGCUCAGGAUUUGUUUCUCUACAUCCAAUUUGGGUUUAAAUGUGUUUCAUAUAUGCUUUAUUUGGUCUUCAAAUUCAGUCAUCAGUCAUGUAGAAUGCAGGUGACUUCUUAUUGUUUUGAAAUACCUAUUAUUACCUAAUUCACUUUAAAAUCAUACAUAGGUUUGACUUUUUCUAUUCUGUAUAUUCAUUGUUAGCACAAUUAGCAGUGAACUAAUGUUGUAUAAUCAUUUGAUCCCUGAAAAAAGGGAAAACCUUCUUAUUACACUUGCAUUCUAGACUAACAACAGCCAAAAACAAGUGCUUCUAUUAGGUAUUCUUUUUGGAGGGCUACUAAUUAGCUGAACUCAUAUGAGUUUUUGGAUGGUCAUGUGGUAGUUGCUCCAUAUGGGAUUGGUAAAUGCUCUGUAAUAACUAAAUUAAGAGAUGAAAUGAUAGAGUUGGUUUUAUCGUUACUAUCGAGUUGUUGCUUAUGUUACAAAUUGUAGGUGAGUUUCCUUAUCUAACUCUUUGAAUUGUUAUAUAUGCAUGUACUCUAUCUAGAAAUGCUUAUCGGUAAACAUUGGUGCAUUACGUACAUCAUGGGCUCCCAGUCAAAACAUAAUUUAUAUCAAAGAAAUGGUCUGCAAAUCUCCUAUCCUAUUAGGUCAACCACUUAAUGCUUAGUUUCAUUAGCACUUAAAGUUGUCAAUAUUGUUCUCUAUAAGUUAUUGAAAUGCCACCAGAUGUUGAUUUAAUGUAUCUUCUUGCUUUGCAGCCCUUGAAAACAUUAAUGCCUUUCCCAACACCCACUUAUACUUGAUAAUUUUAUGGAUAUAUGAAAUAUUUUCCAUAUUCUGAGAUUGUACUCACGUCUUUUGGUUUGGUGGUGUAUCGUCAAAGCUAUAUCGAAAAAUCACCCAAAGUUGUUUUAUAUCCUGGGUGUAACUUUUCUGGUGAAUAUGAUGUAACUUAUGUUCAUGAAUUUGUUGAAAAUCACCCUAAGUUUUUCGUUUUCUUCAA